UACAGAGACUGCAAGCGUUAUUCGGAUUCACUGGGCGUAAAGGGUGCGCAGGCGGCCAAGUGUGUUAGGCGUGAAAGCCCGGGGCUUAACCCCGGAAUUGCACCUAAAACUACAUGGCUAGAGCAUUGGAGAGGGUAGCGGAAUUCACGGUGUAGCAGUGAAAUGUGUAGAUAUCGUGAGGAACACCAGAGGCGAAGGCGGCUACCUGGACAAUUGCUGACGCUCAGGCACGAAAGCGUGGGGAGCAAAAGGG
rnacentral:rRNA from 1 species